CGCACAUUGCGCCCCUUGGUAUUCCGGGGGGCAUGCCUGUUCGAGCGUCAUUACACCACUCAAGCCUGGCUUGGUAUUGGGCGCCGCGCCCGUCGCGCGCCCUAAUGUCGCCGGCCGAGUCGUCUGUCUCCGAGCGUUGUGAAUCUCAUUCGCUCCUGGGGAUCCAGACGGCGCGCGCCGUUAAAACUUUCACUAAGGUUGACCUCGGAUCAGGUAGGGAUACCCGCUGAACUUAA
rnacentral:misc_RNA from 1 species